rnacentral:rRNA from 1 species
UACCAGCACCCCGAGUGGUCGGGACGUUUAUUGGGCCUAAAGCAUCCGUAGCCGGUUCUACAAGUCUUCCGUUAAAUCCACGUCGCUUAACAGAUGGGCUGCGGAAGAUACUAUGGAGCUAGGAGGCGGGAGAGGCAAGCGGUACUCGAUGGGUAGGGGUAAAAUCCGUUGAUCCAUUGAAGACCACCAGUGGCGAAGGCGGCUUGCCAGAACGCGCUCGACGGUGAGGGAUGAAAGCUGGGGGAGCAAACCGG